CGAGCGAACGGACGAGAAGCUCGCUUCUCUGAUGUUAGCGGCGGACGGGUGAGUAACACGUGGAUAACCUACCUAUAAGACUGGGAUAACUUCGGGAAACCGGAGCUAAUACCGGAUAAUAUUUUGAACCGCAUGGUUCAAAAGUGAAAGACGGUCUUGCUGUCACUUAUAGAUGGAUCCGCGCUGCAUUAGCUAGUUGGUAAGGUAACGGCUUACCAAGGCAACGAUGCAUAGCCGACCUGAGAGGGUGAUCGGCCACACUGGAACUGAGACACGGUCCAGACCCCUACGGGAGGCAGCAGUAGGGAAUCUUCCGCAAUGGGCGAAAGCCUGACGGAGCAACGCCGCGUGAGUGAUGAAGGUCUUCGGAUCGUAAAACUCUGUUAUUAGGGAAGAACAUAUGUGUAAGUAACUGUGCACAUCUUGACGGUACCUAAUCAGAAAGCCACGGCUAACUACGUGCCAGCAGCCGCGGUAAUACGUAGGUGGCAAGCGUUAUCCGGAAUUAUUGGGCGUAAAGCGCGCGUAGGCGGUUUUUUAAGUCUGAUGUGAAAGCCCACGGCUCAACCGUGGAGGGUCAUUGGAAACUGGAAAACUUGAGUGCAGAAGAGGAGAGUGGAAUUCCAUGUGUAGCGGUGAAAU
rnacentral:rRNA from 1 species